GUGCUCUGGCAGUGGCCAGGAGGGCAAGUGGCACACUUCUGCAGAACUAAAUUUGCCUUGCUGAGAAAUUCUUUGUUUGAGUGCUCAUUUUCCUUGCGACUCCAAGCUCUUAUUUUCAACAGGGAAAUCUUUGACCCGUUUAUAUAACAAAGGAUGAGAGAGAAAGGCAGAAAUGCUCAAGGAUGGAAAGAAAAGUGAGUGAGCAAAAGAGAUUAAGACAGAGAGUCAGAGUGUAACUUGGAAAAGUGGUGAAAAAAAUCUCAGGAAAAAGGGAGCACUCCACGACUGCUGAGGGUUCAAGAAGAGGAGGACAGAGAAUUGAUGCUGUAUGUGCCUGAACAAGACAAUUGACAACCUUGAUGAGAGCAGUUUCCGUGGAAUAGUCAGGGAGAGAAAACCUGGAUUGGAGCUUGCUAAGGAAUGGAAGUAGAGAUGAAAGCACUCAGAGGUGCCCAGCAGGACAGCAUCCAGCUCUUCCAAUCAGAGCUGUAACACCAUUUCCUGAAACACCAUUUUCAACUAAGCUUUGGAGUGACAAAAAUACCUGUUAUCAUGGACU
rnacentral:antisense_RNA from 1 species